rnacentral:rRNA from 1 species
AAUCAAGCGCGAGAAGGGCGUUUGGUGGAUGCCUUGGCAGCAAGAGGCGAUGAAGGACGUGAUACUCUGCGAUAAGCGCGGGUGAGGUGAGAAUAACCUUUGACCCCGCGAUCUCCGAAUGGGGCAACCCACCUGACAGCUCGUUGUUGACUGCAUUUGUAGUCAACAGCGGACUGAGACAGGUAUCUUUAGGCUGAAUACAUAGGCUUAAAGAAGCGAACCCGGGGAACUGAAACAUCUAAGUACCCGGAGGAAAGGAAAUCAAUUGAUACUCCCUUAGUAGCGGCGAGCGAACGGGGACCAGCCGAGCCGUGAAUGUGACCAGAACUGGUUGGAAAGCCAGGCCAUAGCGGGUGACAGCCCCGUAUGGGAAGCGUGAUCGGACGUAUUAAGUAGGGCGGGACACGUGAAAUCCUGUCUGAAGAUCGGGGGACCACCCUCGAAGGCUAAGUACUCCUUGCUGACCGAUAGCGAACCAGUACCGUGAGGGAAAGGUGAAAAGCACCCCGACGAGGGGAGUGAAACAGUUUCUGAAACCGGACGCCUACAAUCAGUCGGAGGGGCCAUGCGCCCUGACGGCGUACCUUUUGUAUAAUGGGUCAUCGACUUGGUCUCACGAGCAAGCUUAAACCGCUAGGUGUAGGCGCAGCGAAAGCGAGUCUUAAUAGGGCGCCGAGUUCGUGGGAUCAGACCCGAAACCGAGUGAUCUAGGCAUGACCAGGCUGAAGACAAGGUAACACUUGUUGGAGGGCCGAACCCACACCUGUUGAAAAAGGUCGGGAUGAGUUGUGCCUAGGGGUGAAAGGCCAAUCAAACUCGGAGAUAGCUGGUUCUCCGCGAAAUCUAUUUAGGUAGAGCGUCGUACGAAUACCCCGGGGGGUAGAGCACUGGAUGGGUAAUGGGGCCCCACAGGCUUACUGAUCCUAACCAAACUCCGAAUACCCGGGAGUACUAUACGGCAGACACACGGCGGGUGCUAACGUCCGUCGUGGAGAGGGAAACAACCCUGACCUACAGCUAAGGCCCCCAAUUCACGGCUAAGUGGGAAAGCAGGUGGGACGACCAAAACAACCAGGAGGUUGGCUUAGAAGCAGCCAUCCUUUAAAGAUAGCGUAACAGCUCACUGGUCUAGAUAAGUUGUCCUGCGGCGAAGAUGUAACGGGGCUCAAGCCGUGAGCCGAAGCUUAGGACGCAGCAAUGCGUGGUAGCGGAGCGUGGUGUGACUUGACCAUGUCUCUUCCGUCCCCCUGGGGGCGGCGGAGACGUGGUCUGAACUGUGAAGCCGGCCUGUGAGGGAUCCGGUGGAGUGAUCACCAGCGAGAAUGAUGACAUGAGUAGCGACAAACAGGGUGAGAGACCCUGUCGCCGAAAGUCCAAGGGUUCCUGCUUAAAGCUAAUCUGAGCAGGGUGAGCCGACCCCUAAGGCGAGGCCGAAAGGCGUAGUCGAUGGGAACCAGGUUAAUAUUCCUGGGCCAGGAGGAUGUGACGGAUCGAAAGCGUAGUUCAGCCUUAUCGGAUUGGUUGGGCUGCCGGACGGUUCCUGGAAAUAGCCCUCCAUGAGAUCGUACCCUAAACCGACACAGGUGGACUGGUAGAGAAUACCAAGGCGCUUGAGAGAACGAUGUUGAAGGAACUCGGCAAAAUACCUCCGUAAGUUCGCGAGAAGGAGGCCCGGUUCUAAGGCAACUUGGAGCUGGGGGCACAAACCAGGGGGUGGCGACUGUUUACUAAAAACACAGGGCUCUGCGAAGUCGCAAGACGACGUAUAGGGUCUGACGCCUGCCCGGUGCCUGAAGGUUAAAAGGAGAGGUGAGAGCCUUGAAUUGAAGCCCAGGUAAACGGCGGCCGUAACUAUAACGGUCCUAAGGUAGCGAAAUUCCUUGUCGGGUAAGUUCCGACCUGCACGAAUGGCGUAACGACUUCCCCGCUGUCUCCAACAUCGACUCAGCGAAAUUGAAUUGCCUGUCAAGAUGCAGGCUUCCCGCGGUUAGACGGAAAGACCCCGUGCACCUUUACUACAGCUUCACACUGGCAUCAGGCCAAGCAUGUGCAGGAUAGGUGGUAGGCUUUGAAACCGGGACGCCAGUCUCGGUGGAGCCGUCCUUGAGAUACCACCCUUGCUUCGCUUGAUGUCUAACCGCGGUCCGUUAUCCGGAUCCGGGACCCUGUGUGGUGGGUAGUUUGACUGGGGCGGUCGCCUCCCAAAGAGUAACGGAGGCGUGCGAAGGUUGGCUCAGAGCGGUCGGAAAUCGCUCGUUGAGUGCAAUGGCAGAAGCCAGCCUGACUGCGAGACUGACAAGUCGAGCAGAGUCGAAAGACGGCCAUAGUGAUCCGGUGGUCCCGAGUGGAAGGGCCAUCGCUCAACGGAUAAAAGGUACGCCGGGGAUAACAGGCUGAUGGUGCCCAAGAGUCCAUAUCGACGGCACCGUUUGGCACCUCGAUGUCGGCUCAUCUCAUCCUGGGGCUGGAGCAGGUCCCAAGGGUAUGGCUGUUCGCCAUUUAAAGAGGUACGUGAGCUGGGUUUAGAACGUCGUGAGACAGUUCGGUCCCUAUCUGCCGUGGGUGUAGGAUACUUGAGAGGAGUUGCCCCUAGUACGAGAGGACCGGGGUGAACGAUCCACUGGUGGACCAGUUGUCGUGCCAACGGCAGUGCUGGGUAGCUAUGAUCGGACAGGAUAACCGCUGAAGGCAUCUAAGCGGGAAGCCCCCCUCGAAACAAGGUAUCCCUGAGGACCGUGGAAGACCACCACGUCGAUAGGCCGGAGAUGUAAGUCGUGUGAGCGGCUCAGUUGACCGGUACUAAUUGUCCGAUAGGCUUGAUUUG